CUGCCGCCUUUCCCUCCGCCGCCGCUGCCUCCCAACGUGCCGGCGCCACCCCUCCCGCCGCCGCUCCCACCCUCGCCGCCGCCACCGCCGCCUUCUCUGGCCCCUCUGCCACCUGUACCCGACCCAGGCCCUCUGUCCCUGAGAGGAGGCCGUGUUCGGUCUCCUUCCUGGGCCAGGGGCACAGCCAUGGCGGACGGUGGCGGCGGCAGCGGGGGCACCGGUGCGGUGGGCGGCGGCGGCUCGGGCCAGGCCUCGGCGGGGGCGGCGACCGGCGCGACGGGGGCUGGCGGAAGCGGCGGCCCCAUCAACCCGGCUUCGCUGCCUCCCGGCGACCCGCAGCUCAUCGCUCUCAUCGUGGAGCAGCUCAAGAGCCGGGGCUUGUUUGACAGUUUCCGCCGGGACUGCCUGGCCGACGUGGACACCAAGCCAGCUUACCAAAACCUGAGGCAGAAAGUGGAUAAUUUUGUGUCAACACACCUGGACAAGCAGGAAUGGAAUCCUACGAUGAACAAAAACCAGUUGCGAAAUGGUCUGCGGCAGAGUGUGGUUCAGUCAGGGAUGUUGGAAGCUGGAGUGGACAGAAUUAUUUCCCAGGUGGUGGAUCCCAAACUAAACCACAUCUUCAGGCCACAGAUAGAACGAGCAAUUCAUGAGUUCCUGGCAGCCCAGAAAAAAGAAGCUGUGCCAGCACCCCCUCCAGAGCCUGAAAGCCAGGACCCUCCAGCUCCAUCCCAGGAUGCCUCCUAAGGUCCAGUAUCCAUCUUUUGUCCAGGAGCAUUCACCUCUGGCUUGUAGAUAUAGAAAAUGGAUAGAAAAGGGAAUAUGCCUCACACAUUUUGGAAGCUCCACUAAAUUAGUGGUGAAGACCUGGAUUCAGUGACAUAAGAGUACGACUUUAGAAUGAAGACAGGCCAAGGUCAUCACUGACGUCAAGAUCCAACCUGGAUUGUGGGGCAGUGCCCAGACAGAAUAGGGAACGAGUGUAGCAGUAGGAAAGUUGACACGUGUGCCCCCACAGUGUGCUGCCAUCUGGCCAGUUUGUCUAAGCUGAUGACACCCAGUAGACACUACAGAUAUAUUAAGAAACACUACAUCAACCUGGGGUUGUCCUGAAACAAACCUUUAUACUUGAACUUGGAGACUGCGUGCAGAUUUUAGGGUUUGUGCCUGGGGAUAAGCAAACGUUACCAAUGAAGGAACGGAUCUAGUCCCAAGAUGCAAUUUCAAAGAAUGACAGUAACGGUUAGUCAGGAGUGGGCAUUUGACAGUGCUUAUUUGAUACUGUUUCUCAGAGUUGCAAGUUAGAGUGUAUAAGCCUUUAGCAUCAAGGAGCUUUGAGACUGCUGCGACCCUCUGGUACGUGACUCUUGUAGCUUCAGUUCCCUUUCCCCGGUAAGCGGUGUCAAAACGCGGACCCUAGAAAUCAUGGAGAAAUGCAGGCUUAGGUGGAAGGAAAAACUUCUGCAGGUGCUCUGUGCAAGGCUUGCUUCUUCCUAUCCUGCAAAGGCUAGUGAGUCCUAAGUGUGUGUAUUUGAUUCUCAUGUAUGUGUUUUUUAGAAGGUGAAUAAUCAAUAAGUGGCUUAAGUUUUGUAAUAAAACCAUUUGAUACUCUUA